AUCUCGGCAACACCAGUUCUUCUUGACAUGUGAAAUCGCUUGCUACAAGGGAUUCUGGCAAGGAUUCACUGGGACAAAUUACACUGUUGGUUGGGCCCUCAACUAUCUUUCCAGCGAUGGCAAUUUGCGUUGCGUUAACACUACGCUUAAUCCCACAAUGUCGUUGCGAUAUACAGGACCAGCGGACGUAACGACGCCUUCCAUUUCAAUCUACAGCGGUAAUCCUGACACCAGUACGGGUGGCGUGGAACGAACUUUUACCAGUUUAGCGGCGACCAAUUUUGGGUUUGUCCCGAAAUGGAUGGUCCUCACGGGAGGGUCAAGCUGGACUGGGUUUGCCAACGAAGAUUUUUCGGGGAACUCGACCUGCUUCACGGGGUCUGGGCUAAUGCACCAAGUCAUUUUAAACCAAAUAGAGAGAAGGUCGGUAAUCAAGGGAUGCGAUGCCAAAUAUAGGAGUGUUUACUAUGAGGCGGAAUAAUUGUUGGGAAUAUCAUUCAUGAAUUUAAUGAAAUUAAUAUUUCUAAUGUAUCUAAUAAAAAAUGUAUAUUC